rnacentral:rRNA from 1 species
CGGGGGGCAGCAGUGGGGAAUUUUGGACAAUGGGCGAAAGCCUGAUCCAGCAAUGCCGCGUGCAGGACGAAGGCCUUCGGGUUGUAAACUGCUUUUGUACGGAACGAAAAAGUCUUUUCUAAUAAAGAAGGCUCAUGACGGUACCGUAAGAAUAAGCACCGGCUAACUACGUGCCAGCAGCCGCGGUAAUACGUAGGGUGCAAGCGUUAAUCGGAAUUACUGGGCGUAAAGCGUGCGCAGGCGGUUAUAUAAGACAGAUGUGAAAUCCCCGGGCUCAACCUGGGACCUGCAUUUGUGACUGUAUAGCUAGAGUACGGUAGAGGGGGAUGGAAUUCCGCGUGUAGCAGUGAAAUGCGUAGAUAUGCGGAGGAACACCGAUGGCGAAGGCAAUCCCCUGGACCUGUACUGACGCUCAUGCACGAAAGCGUGGGGAGCAAACAGGAUUAGAUACCCGAGU